rnacentral:rRNA from 1 species
AGAACGAACGCUGGCGGCAUGCCUAACACAUGCAAGUCGAACGCGUGUAGCAAUACACGAGUGGCGGACGGGUGAGUAACGCGUGGGAACCUGCCCUGGAGUGGGGGAUAACCGAUGGAAACGUCGGCUAAUACCGCAUACGUCCUGAGGGAGAAAGAUUUAUCGCUCUAGGAGGGGCCCGCGUCGGAUUAGCUAGUUGGUGAGGUAACGGCUCACCAAGGCGAUGAUCCGUAGCUGGUCUGAGAGGAUGAUCAGCCACACUGGGACUGAGACACGGCCCAGACUCCUACGGGAGGCAGCAGUGGGGAAUAUUGGACAAUGGGGGCAACCCUGAUCCAGCAAUGCCGCGUGAGUGAUGAAGGCCUUAGGGUUGUAAAGCUCUUUCGGCGGGGACGAUGAUGGACGGUACCCGCAGAAGAAGCCCCGGCUAACUUCGUGCCAGCAGCCGC